AGAUUAAGAUGCCGGGCUGAGUAAAUAAUGUGAAGAAAAUGCUACAAAUCAUCAAAGACGAAAAGAAUGUCUUAAAAGAACGUCUAAAAAAAGACGAGCAAGUCACGGCCUCACAACCCAGCGCCGCAGCGUUGGCCCAAUGCUGCAAGUUGGUGCCCCAGCCCAAAAGCCAGCGCCCCUAGCUCCGCACCGCAGCAUCAUUUCACCGAGCCACAAUGCCGUUGACCAUGUCCCGUGGGUUCAUUUGUUGUUUUAAAACUAAGAUGCAAGGCUAUUUGUGUCUUUUAAAGUAUUAAAGUCUAAAUCAAGUUUGUAAUCUUAGUUUAAGAUAAAUUAAAACUCCAUUACGUUAUAAAUAGGAUCUUAGAAAAUUAUCUCUGCUUUCAAUUUUAAUUCAAUUUGCAUUUUAUUUUCUAAUGGAUUGUUAAUAUCUUCUUUCCUAGUUAAAGUAAUAUUUCAAGUUUGAUUCUAUAAA